rnacentral:tRNA from 1 species
CCGACCAUAGCUCAGUUGGAAGAGCACAAGACUGUAAAGGUUAAACUCUAGGAAUCUUGGGGUCGCCUGUUCGAACCAGGCUGGUCGGA